rnacentral:rRNA from 1 species
UUUGAAGGGAACGAUUGAAGUCAGUCAUGCCGGCGGGAAUCAACUUAGGGGAAACUUUAAGUGCACUUCACGUUUGGCAGGUCAGCAUCGAUUUUGGAUGUCAUAAAAUGAUUGGGGGAAGGUAGCUCCUUCGGGAGUGUUAUAGCCCUUGGUAGAUGUGAUGUCUGGGAUCGAGGAUUGCAACGGAUACCCUUUGGGCUAGCCGCCUGAUCUCUAACUGGUGUUGGGUUACGGACAGCAUGCUGACCGUGAUUUAAUUAUUGGUUAAAAGGUUAGAGCGAGUGUAAAUUCGUUAAGGAUGUUGACGUA